rnacentral:lncRNA from 1 species
UUUUUUUUUUUUUUUUUUUUCUUUAGGGCCACACUUGCAGCAGGUGGAAGUUCCCAGGCCAGGGGUGAAACCCAAGCUACAGCUGCCAGCCUACACUUCAGCCGAGUCUGUGACCUACACCACAGCUAAGGCCAGAUCUUUUUUUUUUUUUGCUUUUGAGAUCUGAACAUGUGGCAUAUGGUGUUCCCAGGCUAAGGGUUGCACUGAAUUGAAGCAACGGCUGCUGGCCUAUGCCACACCCACACAGGAUCUGAGCUGCCUCUGUGACCUACACCACAGCUCACGGCGACGCCGAAUCUCUGACCCACUGAGCCUGGCUAGGGAUCGAACCCACGUCUUCAUGGCUACUAGUCAGCUUCUUAACCCACUGAGCCACAAUGGGAACUCUCAGACUUAUUAAAAAGACCUAGAAAUCUAGGUUUAAAACAAACAAAAACUCCUGGUUUUUAAAUAUUGGCAAUAAAUUUUUAAAAAUAAAUAAAGCAGUAUGUGGGGACCAAGGAAAACAUAGCUGCAGGCCAAGAACUGAGUUCCACAGCCGCCCCAGCCAGGAGGCUCUGUUCCUUCUCGGGUCCUCCUAUUGCCCCAUCCACCUGCCGCUGGGCUGCCACCACCUCUCUGUGCACACUCUCCCGAAGCCCGACCCCCUUUGCUGCCGUAGGCCCAGCACAAUCCACUGUCUGUCAGCUCCUCCUUCAAAACAUACCUGGAACGGACUCCCUCUGACCCAGUCCUGCGGGCCUGGGCUACAGCAGCACCUCCUCGCUGGUCUCCCGCUGCCCCCGCGCCCCCUGCAGUCGAUUCUUGGUACAGCAGCCUGAGGAGGCCUGUCCCAGAAAAGGCGGAUUCUGGAGCCUCUCGGCACAGAACCCUCUGUGGCUCCCACCUUAUUCUGAGUAAAAGACGCGCCCUGACAACCCUCUCUGGGAUCUUGUGCUAUCUGCCCUCUGCCCACCUCUUCCCUGGUCUCCUGGCCUCCUGGCUUUUACUCCUGCCCCAGGGCCUUUGCAUUUGCCCCUCCCUGUCACCUGGGUCACCUCCCCUGCCAGAUAUCCACAUGACUGGGAAGGGGGUCUAUCAAUAACCCAGAUUAAGAGGCAUAAAGUGGGACUGCCUGUGUGGCGAACAGGAUGUCCCAGUCACCUUUUGUUUCUUCCAGGCUCUGCUACAUGGCAUCAGAAAAGCCUUUCCUGGCCACCCCAUUAAAGCACCCAUCCUCGCCCUGCUGCCCCGAGUUCCCCCACCUGAAACAUUUUCUCCACCGCACCUCUCACCAUCAGACCUUUUGCUGGAGUGCCUGUCGCGGCUCAGCGGAAACGAAUCUGACUAGCAUCCAUGAGGAUGCAGGUUCGAUCCCUGGCCUCGCUCAGUGGGUUAAGGAUCCAGCACUGUUGUGAGCUGCGGUGUAGGCUGCAGACACAGUUUGGAUCCUGUGUUGCUUGCCUGUGGUGUAGGCUGGCAGCUGCAGCUCCAAUGUGACCCCUUGCCUGAGAACCUCCAUAUGCUGUGGGUGCGGCCCUAAAAAGACAAAAAAAAAAACAAAAACCAAAAAACCACAGUCCUUUUGCUUUAUUUACCAGGUUUUGGUUUGUUUGUUUCUUACCUAUGGCCUCGACUAGACUGUAUGCCCCAUGAGGGGCAGGGAAUUUUUGUCUGUGUGGCUCGCUAAUUGCUGUGACCCGGGCUAAGACAGCACUAAGUGGUUGAAUGUCUCCCCAUUUCCUUCAGCGUCCCUGCAAAUGACAUUCUAAGCCCCUCGCAUAGCUAGCCAUCUCCCUAGCUGUAUCCCCCAUUCUGGCUCCUCCAUGAAUCACCCGCAGUGUGUUUGGCACAACUCUGUGCAUAACGCUCUUUUUUCCAACAAUGUCCUUCUCCUGCCCAUCUGCCACGCAAACUCCUCUUCAUCCUUCAAAACCCAGUGCGAAAAUGCCCUACUUCAGGAAACGUUCCCUGACUCUGUCCCUACUGCCGACUACAGUUAACCCUCCUUCCGUUAUCACUCCCGUGUGUGCUGUGUUGGCAUCUACAGCCUUCCAUGUCCAUCUUUGAGGGCAGGGUCUGCUGGCUGUGUCCUCCAGACUCUGUGGGCCUGGGCUACCCACAGGCAGCCUACCGCUGUCAAUCAAAGCUCUCCCCGCCCAGGGCAGCUGUCGUUCCCAGGAAAAGUGCACCUUUGCCAUAACCCCUCCUGGGACAGGCGGCUGGAGAAGAGGGUCGGGGGUCUGGGUGCUGCCCCCUGUGCCCCCCAUCCCUGCCCUGCUCCAGGCUCAUCUGCCCUCCACCCUCCUAGGGAGGGUCCUUCUCAUUACGAAUCUUCCUCCGCUUCUGUCCUCUCGGCCGCCCUCCCCCGCAGCAGGGGCAGCACCUUUCCCAUGAAUCACCUGCCAGGCCGGCAGGCAGCCUGAGAGCCUCCUGCACGCAUGUGCGCCCGGGUCAGGGGGCCGGGGCUGGAGAGGCGGGGGAGGCGGGGGGGAGGCUGGCAGAUGGCUCCUGCUAAGAAGCACGAGGCAUCGGUCCUGGCGGCAACCAGCCCCCCUGCUGGAGGCGACUCGGCCAGGAGGUGAGAGCGGGUCAGGGCCUCUCACCAGGGAGAAGGCCCUGGGGUUGGAAGUGGGGAGCGGUCGGCCGCACCCCUCCCCAAAUCCCGCACCCACUGCUGACAAUAUUUUUAUCACGCUGUUGGGCACGUCCGCUGUGAGCUUAAUCUAACGUCCAUAUUGCUGCUACUUAAUUAAAUAGAUGGACUCACUGUACAUUUACAAGUCUUAAUUCAUCCUGAACAAAAUUGGCCAUGUUUGGUUCUUUAUACACUAGCAGCUCCCUGGAACAAAUGGUGGCCUUUUCGAGUUAACGGCGGGGACAGGUUAAAAGCUAAUUAUCGGCCCUGGUCGCCCGUGUGAGAGAGUGCGGACGUCUUUAUCCAUCACAGACGUGAGCCGAGGGGCUGAAGGGUUCCAGUUUCCCAGCCGCUGCGGGUCCGCUCCAGCCGGGUCUGAACCUCUGAUGGUGGGUGGGCUCCUGCCUCGCAGGGGGGGGCUCUUUCCAUCCGCCUGCCCCGCCUCCCCUCUCUCCUUGGGAGCGGCUCUCCCGUCCCAGCCCACAGCCCGGGCCACCUGCCCACUCCGCGGGGCUGCCCGCUCGUCUGCGUGGCCCGUGCUCUCCCCCUGAGCCGUCAGAGGGUGAGUCAGGUCUGCACUCACAGCCCCCUGGGGGCUGGGGGCAGGUGGCCUGGGGAGGGGGCACCGAGCCCCGGCGGCAGGGGCAUCCCUAUCUCACGGCGUCAGGACAAACGUCCCCGCGCUCACCCUGGGGAGUGCCUAGACCGGGCCCUGGCACGUGGCAGGUGCUCAAAGCCUGUAGCAGGUUCUGGCAGGUCUCGAGCCUGCGGCUGGGCGCUGGGCGGGGGUAUAAAAGGGCCAGGCUGGCAAGCAAAACGUCAGGUACCAGCUGCCCUGGCCUGUCUCAUGGCAACUCUGCCUGGUCAGGACCGCCUUUGCCCUGGAGCCAGGGACCGGGGGACUGAGCCAGAGCUUGGGGUUUUCAUCUCGUGCCACACGCCAGCCCCUGGGCUGCAGGUCCGCAGAGCGUGAGGCGCCUGUGACAAGAAGCCAGGGCACCCCGCCCACAUUCAGCCAGGUGCUGUUCUAAGCGCUUUCUGGCUACGGACGUGUGUCAGUCUCACCGCAACCCUCGGCGGGGAGGGACCACUCCUACCCUCGCUGUACAGGAAGAAACUGAGCCCAGAGAGGUCAAACAGCGUGCUGGGGGUCACACAGCCAGCAUCCUUGGAGAAGACACUGGGGGCAGAGCUCACAGUCUAAGCAGCCUCAGACUAAGGGGGCCAGGGAGGAGGUGGGGGGGUCGCCCCCUAGCUUUAAUCCUGCUGUGGAUUAAAUGCCCCGCCACCCCCCCCCCCCCGCCCCGCACACACAGUGUGUGGAGAGGCCAUGAGACCCCGGGGGAAGCUGGCUGCCCCUCUGCCCUCUCCUUCUUGUCAUUACAGGCCUGGCCCCCAGCUGCCUGGCCCUGGGGAGUGACCAGGUCAGAGAUGUAAACACACCCGCUUCCCGGCCCCUGAGAAUGGGCACAGCCAGGCUGCCUGGUCCAUCUUUGCCCCGGACGGUGACCAGGGUGGGAGGCUGUCUCCGACAGGUGCCCCCCCCCUCCCCCGUGGACUCAGCACCCUGGGGACUGCCCCUGGGCCCAGAGAGCAGGGCCUCAUCUGUCAAGUCUCACAAGAGAGGUGGCCACUCCAGCACUUCUGCCAGCCUCCGCUGGGCCAGAAGCAUCUACACCAGGCCAUCUCGCUGUUUCACCAGCAGCCCCCAUUUCUCGACGGGCAAGGAGAGCCCCAGAGAGGCCGAGCUCCUUUCCUGAAGCCACACAGCCAGCCAGAGUUGUAACUGGGAUCAGACCCCAAGGGGAUGGGAUCUCACGGCCUGAGCUCCGACUGUGCCCCUCCCCCCAUCACCCACCCACCAGCCAGAGAGGGCAGACCCCCUGCAGGCUGCCGCCAGGGGCUGGAGAGGCUGGGAAGUGGGGGUUCCCGGCCCCUCGGGUAAGCAGCCCAGGACACGGCGGAAUCAGGAGGGAGAGGGCUUCUCGUGAGCCUCUAUCCCAGGCACUCGACGUCACCCCUGGAGGCCUCAGUCCCCUUCCUGGGGCCUGACCCCCCAACCUGCCCACCCUGGCCUGUGUAUAUCCUCCCAGAGGGCCCCCCACUGCUCACUACUCUGCUGUCUCACCGGCUGGGAACAGCUGGCGGGGAGGGGCAAGCCUGUCCCCUGGGGGUAAGCCACCACCAAGACUGGACACCUGCGACUCUGUUCUCCCAACGUCCAGGGAGCCCCUGUGGGGUGACAUCUGGAACGCGUCGAAGGGCCUGGGGCGCAGGCGGCCAAGAGCCAGGCCCCACCCCUUGUCCUAUUGCCCGCAAUUGCAUCAGCUUGAGCCCCCAGGGCUGGGGGUCUUAGGGGGGUGGGGGCAGCCCCUGGGGCCCCCAGCCCUGCUUCCUUCCCUGCCCCCACUCUGGCUCCUUCAUCAGCCCUUGGAGACUCCCCUCCUCUGCCUCCCCACCCAGAGACAAUUUCAUCAGCAGUCAACACAUAUUUGCCCUGCAACUUCCUGAGUGCUCAGAGGGCAGAGGCGGGAUUUUUUUUUUUUUUGGCUUUUCAGGGCCACACCUGCGAGGUGCUGUUCCCAGGUUAGGGGGCUGCAGCUGCAGCUACUGCCACAGUCACCGCAACGCCAGAUCCAAGCCACGUCUGCGACCUCCACCACAACUCGCGGCAACACGGGAUCAUUAACCCACGGAGGGAGGCCAGCAUCCUGCUGGAUACCAGUUGGACUCUUAACCUGCUGAGCCGCAGCGGGAACUCUCAGAGUGGGACUGUCACAAGAGACAGAGUUGUGCUAGAUGGCAGGGUGCCCCCCAGAGGGGCACACUCUCACAACACACACUCAUGUGCACACACACACACACACACACACACUCUGCGGUUCAAACCCUCCCUUCCCCGCUCUGUAGCGCGACCUCCCUGCUAGGUGCCUCAGUUUCCCCACCUGUGCAAAGAGCCCCAUGGACCCGCCUGCUGAGAACAGUAAGUGAGCUCACACCCAAGCCCUGGAAGGGGCUCAGGUCAUUGCUGACCCCCAGCAAGUGCCCUAGGCCUCCACUUCCAGCCUGAGCUGCCCCCCCAGGAUGACUCACAGCCAGGCCUGUGGGGGGAGCGAGCCCUGAGGAUUCUGUGGAGGAAGUCACGCUGCCCAGGAAGCAACUGGGUGGGGGCUGGCGGGGCUCAGGGGGAAGGGAGGGCUCGCCUUCAGGGGUGCUGGGGUGGGGGGGCCCCAGGCCAGGCUGAUCUUUCACACCUGCUGACACCCUGACCGACCUGACCGCGGGUCUUGGCAGGUGCGGCGAAGGGCGUGGGGAGGGCCGCCCCCGCCAGUCUCUUCUGCGGCCGCCUGAACGGUGUGGGAGAGAGGCAAGAUGAAGAAGGAGCCACUUCCUGGCAAAUCCCACGACUCAUCCGGGGCCGGAGGCAGGCGGGGGGCGGGAGGGGGGGCGGGGACGCCCGCCUUCUAAGGCCUCUCCCGAGGUCGGGGGCCUGGGGGCUGACCGCCUAUUUCCAUCCUUACCGCUGCCCCCUGCCCCAGUCCCAGCUCAGGGGGUCCCGGCUCCAGAUGGGGAAACGGAGGCUCAAAGAGCGUGAGGCCGCCUGGCUGGCG